rnacentral:lncRNA from 7 species
UACUUUUGUGAUCACUCCUUCUGCAUAUGUUACAUGUUAUAAUGAUGACACAUUUGUCCUAUGAUCCUGUAUAUCCAAAUAUGCUCAUGUCUCACACAACUCUAACUAAAGUGCAAUGGAAAAACAUAAAGAAAGUGGGUUUUUUUGUUUGUUUGCUUGUUUGUUUGUUUUGACCUAAAUAACUAUUUGGGUAAUAGUUUCUCCUAACUGGUUAGUUCUCAUUAUUCUUAUGACAGUAUUAUGUAAAUAUUAAGUAAAUUUAUUUAAUAGAUUCUUAUUUAUCAGAUAUGACUUCUCAAAGAUUACUGUCUUUCUGGUGAAAUAUGGCUUUUAUUGAAGGUCCAUGCUCAGAUCUGAAUACAAUAAUCCCCAUGAUUUAAUUUAAAUCAUGAUUGAAUUAUUACCUUAACACCCUCCCUUGUAGUAUCAGUGUAGGUAUUAGUUUUAGUUUUCUCUUACCUAGCAGUAUUUUGCUGCAAGUAUUAUAACUUACUAUGAGAAAUGUAUAAGAUGGGUGAUAUUUAUAAGUUUGUACAUCUGUGUUUCUUCUAUUUAUAUGCUAGAAUAUGUUAAUAUACUGGUGUUACUGGGCAAAACUUUAAAAGCUGUGAGAUUCUCUGAUAAAAAUAUUAUGGAACUGCCUUUAAGUAGAUGUAAUUUAUGGCAGGAAUACUGAGAUUAAACAGGUAAUCUAAGCUAAUCCUUUCCAUGUAAGGUUUCUCUGCAGAUAAACAAAGUAAAAUACAUGUAUCAUUCAUAUCAAAAUACCGAAGGCAUUAAUUUUCUAAUUUCUUCUUUAAACAGUAGAAUUUCUGAUUUGACAACUGGUGUAGUUUAUUCAUAACUAAUGUAAUUCUUAGAAGAGAUAAUGUUUAGUUGUGAUAUUAUGGUAAAUGGAAAAGAUGAAAAAUGUCUUUAACCUGAAAAAGUUCUCAUACCUUUUUUCCUGGUAAAAUUCUUUUCAAGCAUAACCUGAUGUGCCAAGUGCCAGCCUCUAAGAGCGUAGAGCAGUCAGUGAAACUCUAAAGAAGGUGCAUGUAACUGCCUCCUGACUGGAGUUAUAGCAGUUGAGGGAUGAGAGGAUGGCAAGUUGUUUUUCGCAGUAAGAAAUGAUUAGGCUGUGUUGUAAUAUGUUUGUACAGUUAUUGUAAGACUUUGGUUGUGUUACAGCACCUGGGAUCCAAGGCCAGGACAAAAAACUUAAAAGUGAUAUUUGAUGGAGAGGGUAAAUCUUCUGGUCCCAUUGUAAGAACUGCCUCUGACUUCAGGGAUCCACCUGUUCAUUUCAGUAUAAAUAUACACAAAUCCACUCUGAGAAAUUCAGGACCAUCUUUGUGUUUCUCUGUUUCUUCUUAGAGUUUAAUCAGCACUGAUGUCCAAGACCAGACAGAGAACAAAAGCAGACUCUUGUAUGCAGUGCUAGCACUAUUAGUAAGAGGAAAAACUAGCUGUUUUAUAGCAAUUGAAUGCUUGCUAUCUUGAUUAAUUACCAGCUUCAGAAUAGCAUAUCUGACCAAGCUUUUAAAGAAAAGGAGCCUGAUACUAUUCUUACCGUUAUUCAAAAGUAUAACCCAUUUUUCUCACUUGAAAAAGACAUGCAGGAUUUAAAAGGGUUAAAACGUAGAAUGUUCCCCUCAGGCAACAAUGUAACCAUUUCGCUACAUAGAAUUUCAACUAAUAAUGCUUCUAGCUCUUCAAAUUGCUUGCAAAUGUAUAUUGCUGCAGAGUCUACCCAAGUUUUAAGAAUUUCAAUGUCUAAAGACUCAGCAGGCAAGGGGUGGGUGGUUUGGUGGGACAAGGUUCUUCCAGGUAGCCCAGCAGAACAUGAUGUAUUAUACCCUGGUCUCUUGAUCCUAUUUCUGGAACAGGGUUGAGUAUUACUCGCUGUAGUUAUCAGCCUAGUCAAAGCACUAUUUUUUGAAAGGGCACAUUAAUAAUCAGAGAACAUUUGGGGGGGUCUCUCAGUUUGAUGUGAUUUUUCUUUCUUGCUUAUUGCGUGUGUUUGAGGCUCCUCCAUCAGAUGUUUUGAAUGCUAAAAUAAACCAUGAAGAGGUGUGUUAGCAGUGAGAAAACGAAUAGUGGGGAAUAUGCACACAAGAAAGGCAGUUGGAGAUCUCUGUCACUUAUCACAAAAAACACAGGAUAAUAAGGUAAAAGAUGGCUUUGAAAAGCCUGCUCUAUUCAAAUGUUCUCCAAUUUAUGGUGGAUUACUCUAAGAGCAAGAUUUUGGUGUUUAAAAAAAUUCUUACAGAAGAGUACAUAUUUUAAGUUAUUUUUUCAAGCUUUCCCUUAAGCAUGUUUAUCCAUAUAUAAUUAAUGUCAGAAUUUCUUAGACAGACAAUAUGAAUUGAGAGAUAUUUUAACACUGCCCUAACAUUUUUUUCCAGAAAUUACAAGUAUGGAGUCAUAAGUUCCAAAUGAUAUGAUGUUCUCUAUGACCCAUUAGCAUGAAAUGGAUUUGGGGUGGUAUUAUUUAUCAACUCUGCCUGAGUGCAGUCCUUCACAAAUU